GUUAGCAUUUGAAAUAUCGAUAAAAAGUUUCAAAACGAGAAAUUAGAAUCUUACAAAUUGGCUGUAAGCAUAUUUUGAACCAACCAACAUCAAAUUGCUUUAAACCCGAAUUCCUUAAAUUCAUAUCAUUUGUGGUAAACGUUACAAAUUUUUCAAAGUAGGAAAAUUUAAAACGUGGUCGUGAGCGCUAAACAAAAGCUCACCAUACCACUAACGCUACAGAGCUACGUUUAGACAGGUAUAGUGGACGAUAAAAGUGAGAAUUGCCUUUGAAGGGAGAAGUUUUUCGACCAGUCAGAUGGUCAAGUUGCAAAUUUUACGAAGUGUCUGUUUAAAAUAAAAAUAAAAUUUGGAAGCGAGGUAAUGACAGUAGUAAGCAGUUUAUUUCUCUACCAAACUUAAUAUACGAUUAGUAAAGCGAAAUAGAUGUAAAUGAAGUGAAAGUGUCACUUAAACGGGAAGGGAGACGCGAAAAUAACACCGGAGUGAAUUUCAGAGUUCAGAAGAUGAUUUUACAAGUCAAAAUGUAUAUCUAGGAAAAGUCUAAUUAUGGAACAGGCGUCAAAGUUUCGAAUGUAUAAUGCAAAAAAGUAGUGGCUUUGACGAAAUUUUGAAAGCAAGAAGUUGAUUUCAAACAGUUACAUUUAUUAUCUAUACAUUUGUUUUGUUACUUGACUUAUUGGUCUACAGUUCCUCGAUAUUCCUGAGGCGAGUCAAAGACAAGAUGGAUUCAAUUUUAGUAAAUCGAUAAAAGUUCUGGAGGCAUGGCGACAGAAUUGGAAGUGUUCGAAAAUGUAAAUGAACAUGUCGUAAUUUCCAAAGGAAAUUUGCUGUAUGAAGACGAUAAAAUGAAUUGUUACAUUUAAUCAUUUUUUAAAAACAAGAUAGACGAGGAGUGAAGCCAUUAUUAUUAAGGCAGAUAGUUUAGCAGCUUAGUAUCACUCCAAUUUAUAGGCCACCCUAGCAGAUAUGUUAAUUAGUGAAGUUUCUUUACUUAUGAAAACGAAUUGAAACUGAAUGACGACAAAUGAAGCGACUGCAUUUCAAGAUCGUCUUUACGCGACAGUCGAGAUAUCCAUUUCUUAGAACACCAGUAUUUUAUCAGUCAUUAUUCAGGCAGAUAGUUUAGCAAAAACUCAGGAUAGCAGCAGCUGAAUAUAGCAAUAUCACGUUUAAAACGAAAUAUUCAUAGCGCAUGGCAGAUAAACCACACGUCUACGAUUCAAACAACGGAAAAUCGAAAAACAAUGGUUCAGCAGCAGAGAAGAUCUUUUCAAAAACAAAUACUCAAAUGGGAUCGACAGAUUUCGAUAUGGAUCAUGCGAAGAAAGAAGAAUUCCUCUCUCCAACAAGAACACCAAAUAGCAAGCGAUAAAGGAUUCGUGGUCUUCAAUUCCAAAGACGAUCCCUUGCCUCACUGCUUUCAUUAGUGAUCUAACUGAGGCCUAAAUUUUUUGUUUUGUCGAGCAUGGAGGCUGACUGCAAUGAAUUCGUGUAAUGAACUCGUUCAAAUUUGUGCUAAAAUUGCAAAUACAUGCAAUGCACAGCAUAAAAUUGAAUAUAUUUCACAAAAAUUAACUCAACCUGAUAAGAGGUCGAACGACGCGAGAAAAUAACUACAAUGGUAAUUUAUCAAAGCUGUUGUUGUUCAGCAUCAAGCCAUCUGCUAUGGCUAUGCCCCUGGUUUUAACUAGCGAACUUUGUUCGAACUUAAAUCGUAUCCACUUACUCGUUUUGGCGACUCCUUCUUACCUGUGGUAUUUUAUUUUAGAUUGAAGUCUGAACGCUUCUAAGACGAGAUGCUUGCACACGAAGCCAUCCCAAGAAGACUGAUUGAAGUCUGAACAAUUCUAAGAUGAAAUGCGUGCCCAUGAACCGUUGUAAAAUGAUGCGUGCCCGUGAAGACAUCAUCCCAAGAAGACUGGCAUGCGAUUUCCCAUAACUAGUAUGAUGAACUAGCAGAACAUGGACUUGGAAAAGCGGAGUGAUUUGGGCAAGCGUAACACUAAAAUAAAAUCCUACACAGCCUGCUGGCCGAGAAAUGGUCAGAAUGCUGUCGAAAGAUGAUACGAAAUUAUUCUUCCUGGAUAUAAAGAGCAUGACUUUUUUUUAAUUUGCUCUCAUUUUGCAUGUAGUUAGUUGCAUGAUAGUUCAAACGCCUUUGCAUGUUAGAUUAAAACCACGCUCUAAGAGGCGGAGUACGCGAAAGGAUCUAUGGAGUAUGAUAUGCAAUGUUGAAGAGGUUGUUUCGUGCUAAUAACGCUGUUGAGUUGCAUGGAUUCCGGAGUCUAGGGCGCGGGUUUGGUUCAUUCGAGGAUCAUCUUGCAUGUUAGGUAAUGCGUGUUACUUUAAUUUACACUGUUUUAUGUUAGAUUAAUGCAUGUUACUUUGAUACACACACGGAGAGACCUCUUAGUUGCUCUACAAGCUAUGGCUUGGAUGAUUGCAGUAAUCCACUGGAAUAGGUUUCGAGGUUUUGUAUGCUUUAUAUGCCUGUUGGCAAAUGAAGAUUCGAACUAUGGGUGCCAAGGCUUCACCAAUUACUAAUCAUUGUUAAAAACUCGCCAAUUUUUUGUCGUUUUUUUUUUAAUUGUAUUUAUUUUAUUCAUAGGAUUUAAUGACCUAAUAAUGCAAUUUAAGUAUGUUCAAGCCUGGCUAUAAAAUUAAUAUUGAAAAUAUAUCGAAGAUUUUGCUGCUGCUAAACGUUUAUAUUUAAGCAGUCUCGUUAAUGCUUGCCUAUGUCAGAAUUCACAUACGACCUUCUACAUGUUGAGCAUUCGGUGGGACCGUGUAUUUCUAAAUUCGGACGAGUAACUUCAUAAGCAAAAGGCUUGUGAAGCAAACUAGAUGAACGUGAAUAGUAGACUUAGAGAUGUCGUGUUGAUGACUGAUGAUGCAUGACUUAACUAUGGAAGGAUGAGAAGACCAGCUGGCGUAAGCAUUCAUUCAUUUAUAAAAUAAAAUGGUGGUUUACACAGGUGCGGUUUUUAUUAAAUGUUGUAUAGGGCUUCAACCUUCAAGGCUGAAACAAUAUGCCAGGUGGACAUAAUGCAGGACUGCUCUUACAAAGUAAGUCAGUUUAUUCGAUCUGAGAUUAUUUUUAAUUAGCUUGGUUUGUUUUUAAUCAACUUUUUAUUUUAUUUGUAAUUUGCGUAAGACCACAUACUUUUUAAUGGCCUUACGUUGUUUUGACUGUUUAUUUCACGGUUUCGUUGCCAUUCUGUUUUUUCUUCUGGCCAUUGACUUUCAGGUUGCCAUUUUAUUUGGCUGUUGUCUUUCAAAUUGUUUUGACUAUCGUCUUUCAGGUGGCUAUUCCGGUUUUUCUGACCAUUGUUUUUCAGGUGGUAAUUCAGGCUUUCUCACCAUUGUCUUUCAGGUGGUCAUUUCGGUUUUUCCGACCAUUGUCUUUCAGGUGGUCAUUCCGGUUUUUCCGACCAUUGUCUUUCAGGUGGUCAUUCCGGUUUUUCCGACCAUUGUCUUUCAGGUGCUAAUUCAGGUUUUUCUGACCAUUGUCUUUCAUGUUGCCAUUCUGUUAUUUAGUUGACCAUUGUCUUUCAGGUGGUUAUUACUGUUUUUUUGACCAUUGUCUUUCAGGUGGUCAUUACUGUUUUUUUGACCAUUGUCUUUCAGGUUGCCAUUCUGUUAUUUAGUUGACCAUUGUCUUUCAGGUGGGUAUUACUGUUUUUUUGACCAUUGUCUUUCAGGUUGCCAUUCCGGUUUUUCCGACCAUUGUCUUUCAGGUGGUCGUUCCGGUUUUUCUGACCAUUCUUUCAGGUGGUCGUUCCGGUUUUUCCGACCAUUCUUUCUUUGGCCAAUCCAGUUUUUCCGGCCAUUGUCUUUCAGGUGGUUAUUCCUUUUUUUCUGACAAUCGUCUCUCAGGUUCCCAUUCUAUUUUUAUUUCUGGCCAUUGGCUUUCAGGUUGCCAUUCCGGUUUUUCUGACCAUUUUCUUCCAGGUUGCCAUUCUGUUAUUUUUCUGACCAUUGUUUUUCAGGUUGCCAUACUGAUCAUUGUCUUUCAGGUUGCCAUUCUGUUUUUUCUGGUUGUUUCAGGUUGCGUUGACCUGUUUUGACCAUCCUGUUUUUUUUUUCUUGAUAUUAUCAGGUUGGGUCGACCAUUCUUCUCCUUUAAUUAAUCUAUUUUUUUUUCAAUAAAGUGUCAAUGAAUUUUCGAUGUGUAAAGCUAGAACUACUGCCCGUAUAAGUCGACAAUACUUAACUGGACACAUUGUGGAUGAUGAAACCGUGAUAAUUGACAAUUGAUGCAAUAUUUGAAAAAAGUAAUAGGACAAGUGUUGAUGAUUAUUUAUGUGAAGCUGGGGCAAGCUUGAGUUCCAAAGAUUCUGAAGUGACAGAAGACAAAAGGGUGAACAACUGGAUGAUAACGAAGGAUGGGGACGAAACCUUGACUUAAGAGUGAUAUCAAUCAUUUUGGGAAUGUACGUUUUUCAUCAGAUGCCUGCCAGCCUACGGAUACCAUGGUGAGUAAAAAUGCAAUCCUCAAAUUAAACAAAGUGACCAAGGGACGCACAGAGUAUGAGAAGAACGCUAUCCCAUCUGAACUCUUUGAGAAACCACGCGGGCCGAAUUGUUUGCAACUGAAAGUUUACAUAAAGACGAAUCUAUUGUUUAGAUCGUCUCACAAGGCAUCGUAUGUCACCUUCAAUCUCAAUAUAGUUCUCCUGUAAUGCAACAUAAAGACGUCCUGGUAUCAGCUGAUAUCAGCUUUGAAACUGUUCUGAUUAGUGCCUUAUCAGACUAUUGUUUCUUAGUCUUCGAAUUCGCUUGUGGAAUCUCCUGGCACAUUUGUUGUUGACGAUGCUAGAUUCCAGUGCAACAGUUAACCCGUAUAUGUGACAUACUUGAUCUUGCAUGUUAAACAGUGGUGAAUCGACAGUAUUCCCGUUGACGAAUUGGCGGAUCGACGAUGUUUCCGUUGAUUGAUCGACAGUGUUCACAUUGGUGGAUCGACAGUGUUCCCGUUGAGUGAUCGGCAGUGUUCCCAUUGACGGAUCGGCAGUGUUUCCCGUUGACGGAUCGACAGUGCUCCCGUUGACGGAUCGACAGUGUUCCCGUUGACGGAUCGACAGUGUUCCCGUUGACGGGCCGACAGUGUUCCCGUUGACGGGCCGACAGUGAUUGACAGUAUUUCCGUUGACGGGUUUACUGAGCUUAUACAGUGUCUAGUAAGUUGGGGGCGUAUAAUAAACGAGACACAUGUCAAAGAUAUUUAGUGUAUCUGUAGAAAGCUAUUGAUAAUUUCGUGCAAUACUUAUCAUGUUUUUAAACCGCUGUAUUUUGGACACCCUAUAAUAAUAAUGCUGGAUGGUCGUGUCUAUCGCUGAAAUAUUCGCUUGUUAUAUUGGGCAAUUGCUUUUAUAUUUUGUCAUUUUUAUUUUCAAAAUCAAUUGUCAAUCCUAAAUUAUCGGACUCUGGAAAAUCGAAUUAUAUUAGCGCCAUAGUGCGCGCUUCUGCUUCUUGUAAAUGUAUUGUGUGUCCUUAUUUGUAUGAACUUGUGCAUUUGUCGGACUUGAAAUUGAAAUUGCUGUAGGGUUUGGGUGGGCUCUUUACGCAGAGCUGAAUGUUGCAAAAUUUGAGUGUUUUCACCUUUAUUCGUAAUGUUCAGAUCCGCGUAUGGUUUACAGCAUUUUCAUUUGCGUGUUUAUUUAUAAUACAUAUAUUUUUGAAGUCAAAAAGUUAUGAAUAGUAUCAAUAAUAUAG